rnacentral:lncRNA from 1 species
AAAUGCUCUGUCUAAGGGCCAUACAGCUUUUAGAGGUUUUAUGGCGUCUCCGAAAGCGAAGAUCGUAUUCCUGACCUAUGCAGUAUGGCUGUCAAGCAAUCCAACCUUCUCAUUCACCUGUGCAUCAGCAAAGCAUUUGAUCUUGCUAAGCACUCUUGUUUAGUCGAAUGCUUUCUAUUUCUACCAGGAAAUGAAUACGGCAGGAAUUAACUGUCAUGUAUGUAUUUGAUUUUUUCUUGGUUGGUAAGGUGUCAGUUUCGCCACCUAAGCCUGGAUAAUGAGAUGGGAGUGUUUCUGAAGAAAUCUGUGUCUUCCUUACCAAUUUAUAGUAAUACUAAAUGGUUCAUUAUCGGUAUAUAAUACCUGGGCUCUAUGUUAGAUCCUAUGUCUAAGCUUGUAAGAAGAAAAAAAAUAUUGUCCAAGGAUGAUAAUUAACAUAAAUUUUAUGCUAUCAAAGCCCCGUUCAGGACAGCUAUUCUUGGUGAGUCCUUCCUUCUCUCUCCGUGCCAUGUUGCCUCGCCUCCCUAGCUGACCACAUGAUAACUUCCCCCAAAGCCAGCUGAGACCAUGGUCCAUUUGGCCUUCUACACUCAAUUGCUCAGUUUUGGUGCGCCUGAUCUGAGCCAAGUUUAUGGAGGUGUGAAAGAGAUUGUUGUUUCUACUUUCUAAUGGCCCAAAAGUUGAAAGGACAAGAAAAGAAGAAAAAAGGGAUCGGAAACGGCUUUUGAUAUGACCUUUCGGGAGAUGCUAAUGCUUCUUGCAAUCAAUCAAUUUUCCAAACUUUGACAGACUGUAAAUAUUCAACAUUCCAACCCUGCACAUGCAAAUGCAUAAUUAGAGCAUUCUUUCUAUUUGAAUGCCGUACUGGUCAGAAGACUUGGGAACUCUCUCUCUCUCUCUCUCUUUUGUACAGGGAGGGACCGAAGCCCAGAGAAACAACAAUGUACAUGCAACCCUUUCCGGGCUAACAAUACAUGGCACAUGCACGUGCCUUCUGUAGCAGAGGAGGAAGAAACAAUGAAUUUGCAAGUCAAUCAGUGCUGCAAUUGCCUUUUCGAAGAGCAUGCCUGAUGAGGACAUCUCAUUCCUUCCACAGCAGCCUUUGAAUUAGAACAAUAAACUGGGUUUUGCAGGAUUUCCCAAAGGCUAUGCUCUAGCAAAGCUGAAGUCACCUCUAGAGUGACUUUCUUGAAGCUUUGAUCUCAAGGAUCGAUGGUGAUUGGAUGCCAAUAAAUGCAACCUCCAGUUCUGGCUUAAGAAAAUAAUCUAUCUAUGUGUUAUAGGAUCUACAAAUCUAGAAAUAAUUCAUCAGGUUAACAUCUAUGAUGAUGCCAUGCAUGCUUUCGAAUGUAAUUUUCUUCCAGAAACUUGCUUUCCUUCAAAGGUUGCAACGUUUAGCAUCAAGCUGCUGUGACAAGAAGAAGAAAAACCCUCUCCUUGGCUUUUAACACUAUAUUACUCGUACCUCUCAUUGGAGAAGAAGAAGAAAACAAGAAACAGAAUAUUAAACAGCGAGAACCCAAUCAACCGAUAAAAAUGACUAAAUGACAAUAUAUUAUAUUAAUUUGAAUUAAUUAAAAUUAAGCUAUCAAAUCUCUCAUUCAAUCAAUCAUGAUAUCAUAAUAAUUUUAUAAAAAACAAAUAAUUUUUUUUAUUAAGUUAAAUUCUCACUCAAAUCAAUAUUAAAUAAUAAAAUUUAAAAUAAAAUUCAACUAAAAAAAUAAAUCAAAUUAAC